GCCGGUGUGGCUCAGUGGAUAGAGCGUCGGCCUGCCGACCGACGGGUCCUGGGUUCGAAUCCAGCCAAGUGCA
rfam:Myotis lucifugus cont2.62324, whole genome shotgun sequence.